GUCUUUAUGAAAGAAUGUAAAGUCUAAUCUGCUCACUGAUUACUUAAAGAGCCGCAGUAUUUUGACUGUGCAAAGGUAGCAUAAUCAAUAGUUUUUUAAUUGGAAACUUGAAUGAAAGAUUGAAUGAAAAACAAUUUUUUUUUAAUAAAAUAAAUUUAAAUUAAAUUUUGAGUGAAAAUUCUUAAUUAAAUUUAAAAGACGAGAAGACCCUAUAGAUUUUUAUUAUUUUUAAACUUGAAUAUAAAUUUAGUUUAAUAAUAAUUUAAUUGGGGUGAUUUUGUAAUAUAAAAAACUUAAUAUUAAUAAACCAUAAAUGAUUGAAUUUUUUGAACUAAAAUUUUUAAUUGAAAGAUUAAAUUACCUUAGGGAUAACAGCGUAAUUUUAUUUAAGAGUUCAUAUUUAUAAUAGAGUUUGCGACCUCGAUGUUGAAUUAAGAUAUAUAUUGAAGUAGAAUGUAAUAUUUUUAGUCUGUUCGACUAUUAAAAUCU
rnacentral:rRNA from 1 species